rnacentral:rRNA from 1 species
ACGUAGGGUGCAAGCGUUGUCCGGAAUUAUUGGGCGUAAAGAGCUCGUAGGCGGUUUGUCGCGUCUGCUGUGAAAACCCGAGGCUCAACCUCGGGCCUGCAGUGGGUACGGGCAGACUAGAGUGCGGUAGGGGCAGGCGGAAUUCCGGGUGUAGCGGUGGAAUGCGUAGAGAUCCGGAGGAAGACCGGUGGCGAAGGCGGCCUGCUGGGCAGUUACUGACACUGAUGCGCGACAGCGUGGGGAGCAAACAGGA